UUCCUCAUGUUUUUCAUUCCCUAGAAACCGCCAUCAUUAUCCCCUUUUAAUUCAUUUUUCUUCCAACUACUCACAUCUCUUACCUCUCAUAAAGUUUUCAUUUUUACACUAAUUCUUUCUUUUAACUCUUCUGUUACUCUCUUCACAUUUGGGUACUUUUCCCAAAUUUCUUUUCAGAAUUCCUUUAUGGCCCGUGCAAAGAGUACUUCAAAGAUGGUAGAAUCUUCUUAUGCUGAGGGUUCUCAACCAAAUAUAUUCUUCAAUGCUAUCGCUACUACAAGGUAUACAUCUAACAUCCUCAAAUGACUAUUUUUCUUUAAGUAGGGUUUUCUAUUAAAAGAUGAACCCCAUUUUCGGUAUGAUGAAUCAGUGGCAUCAGUUAUUGAAAAGCACAACUGGAGUAAGUUUUUUUUUUUUUGCAUCCAUGAGAUGUUUUGGGAAAAGUGGUGCGAAAGUUUUAUUCUUAUGUUAACUCCCUAGAUUCCCCAUUCAUCUACAUGAGAGGUAAAUCUUUUCUGUUUGAUGAAGACCAAAUAAAUACCCAUUUUGGUCUCUGGGAGGUUGAAAUGAACGUUCGGAGUUUUCUUACAAUAUUACACUAGCAGGAUUAUCAUGGGUUUUGAAUGAUUUGUGUGUUGAAGAAACACAGUGGACUAUUUCAGGCCAUGACUGUUACACCGUUGAGCGCGUUGCGUGGAAGCCAGUAGGGAAGGUUUGGUAUCACUUCUUGAGAAGUAGAUUGAUACCAUUAACACAUAAUACGAUAGUGUCAAAGGAGAGAAUACUACUGUUGCAUUCUAUUAUUAAAUGCUGAAGGAUAAAUAUUGGGAGAAUUAUAUUCCAGGAAGUUCACAAGUGUGCAGAUAAGAAUGCUGGCAAUUUAAACUUACCUUAUCUUAUCUUAACCCUGUGUGAAGCAGUAAAUGUGCCAUUAGGUGAUGCUGAGGAUGUUACCCUCAACAAUGGUGGGAUAACACAAGCUAUUUUUGUCAAACUCAGAGGAGCUGAGUUUGUCGCGGCAUUCCAGCACCAUUAAGCUUUGCCUACCAUGCAAAUUCCUACAACAACGUCUCCUGACUCUUGUGAUUCCCUUAUCCAGAAAAUUUUACAUUUUUUAAAUAAGCAAGAGCAAAGGCUGUCCCUUUUUGAAGUCCAGUAGUACCACCUCAUUGAAGAGUUGGGACAACUCAAUGCACGCCAUGCUCGAUAUUGGAUGUAUGCGAAAAAUCGAGACUUGGCCUUACGAAGAUCCCUUCAGAAGAAUUUUUCAAAACCCAUGCCACCAUUUCUUGUGUUUCUAUUGAACUUGCUGUCAUCUGAUGACUCUGAAGAGGAGCCAAAUCAGCUGCUACCAGUAGUGAUUCUGUGGAAGAAGAAGCCACUCGUAAGGAGAAAGCUACUAAGGAUGGGCUCGAAAAAUAUGUAUUUAAGGACCUUGGAGGCCACUGCCACUACCACUACCACUACUGCUGAUAAGGGAAGGUGGAGAGAGCACCACUUUGAAAUGAAAAAUGAGUUUUGUGUGGUGGUAGGAAAGGAGCAAGUUUUCAAAGAAAGGAAAUAAAUGAGUGAAGUUUUGCUAGGGCAAAGUGCAAAUGAUAUGCCAACAUGAGUGCUGCAGUGAUGCCAGGAAGACUGAGUCAAACAAUUCUCAUGCAGUUGUUUCAAUUUGAAAUAUAAACUUAUGCCAAAUAAAUCACCUUAGAAAAGAGGAGAAGAUUAACACAAAUUGAUUGGCCGAACUCUAUUUGUAAAAGGACAAUGAAGGGAACCUCAAAAGGCAUCUUAGAGAGAAGUAAAAGAGUAAGAAAUCUCAAGUGGAAGAGGAAGUCAUCCUCUCGGUCAAUAUAGAAUUGUGCUGAUGAAGUGCAGACGAGCAGAAGCUAUUUUCUUGACGUUUUUCAGUAAUUUCCUUAGGGCUUUCCUGUGAACUUAUUUGGUUUUAAACGAUGGUAAUAGUUUGGAAUUAUAUUUUCCAAUUGAUGAGUUAAAUCUCAUCAGGUUAGGGUUAUUUUCAUGAUACUUAACUGUUUUAAGUUUCCAUGGUAUAAAUCUAAUUAUUUUACUGCCUAUUCAA